rnacentral:antisense_RNA from 1 species
GGGGCAGUGAAUGGCCAACAUGCCUAUAAUCCCAGCACUUGAAACCAGGAGUUCAAGACCAGCCUGGGAAACAAAGCAAGACCCUGUGUCUAAAAAAAUUUUUUUUAAAAUUAGCUGGGCAUGGUGGCACGUGCCUAUAGUCCCAGCUACUCAGCUACUCGAGAGACCAAGACGUGGAAUAAACUUGACAAAUGCUAAAGAUGCUCUUUGAUUUUUGUGUGGCAUGAGACCUCAGGCUGAAACUUCUCAUCUGAGCCAUUGAGGGGAGCCUCUCAUCUCUCCACCGAGAGGGGGAGACCAGAAUGACUGUAUCCACAGAGCGGUGCUCUUGCCCUGAAAGGAAGGAUUUGCCCCGGUUUGGAAGGAAGUGGAAUAAAUAGAACUGGAAAUGCUCUGUUUCUGGCAGGAAUCUGACACCACUUAAUCCUUGGGUAGAAACUCCCCCAAGUCUGAACUAUGUGAUUGCCUGAGCCCUGCUCCUUGUUCAUUAAGACUGCUCCUCUGAAAUGGAAUUGAUGAAUUUUCAGUGGCUAUUUGAAGCAUUUGGGAUCCAUAGGCAUCAGGGCUUGAUGCAUGGCCCUCAUCUCUGUGGGCUCCUGUGCAAUGAUUCUCAUCUGUCUUAGUUAGAAAGUGAAUUAAUCUUGACCUUGGCCUCAGGGGUGUGGUUCUCUGCCCUCUUACACAUCUUCAAUUCGCUUCUUUAUCAGAAGCACUUGUUUUAGGCCCAGGCUCCCCCAGUUUU